GCGGGGCGGCGCUACCAUGCAGUCGAACGGUAACAGGAAGCAGCUUGCUUCUUUGCUGACGAGUGGCGGACGGGUGAGUAAUGUCUGGGAAACUGCCUGAUGGAGGGGGAUAACUACUGGAAACGGUAGCUAAUACCGCAUAACGUCGCAAGACCAAAGAGGGGGACCUUCGGGCCUCUUGCCAUCGGAUGUGCCCAGAUGGGAUUAGCUAGUAGGUGGGGUAACGGCUCACCUAGGCGACGAUCCCUAGCUGGUCUGAGAGGAUGACCAGCCACACUGGAACUGAGACACGGUCCAGACUCCUACGGGAGGCAGCAGUGGGGAAUAUUGCACAAUGGGCGCAAGCCUGAUGCAGCCAUGCCGCGUGUAUGAAGAAGGCCUUCGGGUUGUAAAGUACUUUCAGCGGGGAGGAAGGGAGUAAAGUUAAUACCUUUGCUCAUUGACGUUACCCGCAGAAGAAGCACCGGCUAACUCCGUGCCAGCAGCCGCGGUAAUACGGAGGGUGCAAGCGUUAAUCGGAAUUACUGGGCGUAAAGCGCACGCAGGCGGUUUGUUAAGUCAGAUGUGAAAUCCCCGGGCUCAACCUGGGAACUGCAUCUG
rnacentral:rRNA from 1 species